rnacentral:rRNA from 1 species
AUUGAACGCUGGCGGCAUGCCUUACACAUGCAAGUCGAACGGCAGCAUGGAGAGCUUGCUCUCUGAUGGCGAGUGGCGAACGGGUGAGUAAUGCAUCGGAACGUACCGUGUAAUGGGGGAUAACGUAGCGAAAGUUACGCUAAUACCGCAUACGACCUGAGGGUGAAAGCAGGGGAUCGCAAGACCUUGCGUUAUACGAGCGGCCGAUGUCAGAUUAGCUAGUUGGUGAGGUAAAGGCUCACCAAGGCGGUGAUCUGUAGCGGGUCUGAGAGGAUGAUCCGCCACACUGGGACUGAGACACGGCCCAGACUCCUACGGGAGGCAGCAGUGGGGAAUUUUGGACAAUGGGGGCAACCCUGAUCCAGCCAUGCCGCGUGAGUGAAGAAGGCCUUCGGGUUGUAAAGCUCUUUCGGCCGGGAAGAAAUCGCACAGGCUAAUACUCUGUGUGGAUGACGGUACCGGCAUAAGAAGCACCGGCUAACUACGUGCCAGCAGCCGCCGCGG